rnacentral:rRNA from 1 species
UACGUAGGUGGCAAGCGUUGUCCGGAUUUACUGGGCGUAAAGAGCGCGCAGGCGGUCGGAUAAGUCGAAUGUGAAAGCCCCCGGCUCAACUGGGGAGGUCAUUCGAUACUGUUCGACUCGAAGGCAGGAGAGGGAAGCGGAAUUCCCGGUGUAGUGGUGAAAUGCGUAGAUAUCGGGAGGAACACCAGUGGCGAAGGCGACUCACGUGCCCUUGUUCGUGACGCUGAGGCGCGAAAGCUAGGGGGAGCAAACGGG